AUGCAAGUCGAACGGUGAAGGGGAGCUUGCUCCCCGGAUCAGUGGCGAACGGGUGAGUAACACGUGGGCAACCUGCCCCUGACUUCGGGAUAACGCUUCGAAAGAGGUGCUAAUACCGAAUAUGAACGCGAAGGACAUCCUUUGCGUUGGAAAGUUUUCGGUCAGGGAUGGGCCCGCGGCCUAUCAGCUAGUUGGUGAGGUAAUGGCUCACCAAGGCGACGACGGGUAGCCGGCCUGAGAGGGCGACCGGCCACACUGGGACUGAGACACGGCCCAGACUCC
rnacentral:rRNA from 2 species